AAAAAAAAAAACUGCUGCACACCUAUUAGGAUGGCUAAAAUCCCAAACACUGUUAACAUCAAAUGCUGACAAGACUGUGGGACAACAGCAACUCUCAUUCAGUAUUGACUCAUCUAUUGUAACAAUUUGUCCCAAUUUGUCCCAGCAUAUUUUAGUGAAUAAUUUAUUCUAUUCUCACUGAAAUCAAGUUUAGCCAUCAUAAUAAUGAAUUGUCCAUAUAUCUAAGUAUCUAUUUCUAGAUUUUCUAUUCUCUUUGAAAUACAUCUAUUCAAAUACUAGUACCAUACAUUUUAUUACUAUGAUUUUAAUAUAUUUUAUAUGUAGUAGGGAAAUCCCCUACUUCUUUAUUCUUUAGAUGAAACUAAAUAUUGAUAUACCAAAUUGUUACAAGAAAAAGAAUGCCCUGAGAACUUGAUUGUAAUAACAUUAAAUUUAUCAAAUAAUUGGGGGAUAAUUGACUUAAUCAUAAUUACAAGAGCUGUUUCAAAUCUUUUUAAGUACCAAACACAAUAAUAUUGUUGAAAUACAUUUGCCAUGUUUAUGAAAUUCUUAAUGUAAUAUUAUUUGUAAUGGUAAUAUUAGUAAUAGUUUGAUAUAUUAAUAAUUCAGUUGAUCUAAGCAUGCAUUCUUUCAUGAUGAUGAUUAUGGUCAAAAUAUGCCAAAUGUGUCUGUAAAUAUCAUGCAUAAUAUAAUCACUUAGCAAAUAAAUUGCUGAAAGAGAAGGAAAAACGUAGAGUUGGUUCUAAAGCUGUGGCAAUGUUGCUUUUAGUCAUAUGUUCUCAUUUACUCCAUUCCAGAAUGUUUAUGUGCUAUUGCAUAGUCCCUGGCGUGCCAUCUGUUCCUGCAGUCAAGACCAGUAAACUCAGGUAUGAGCCUUGCAAGAAGACAUACAUAUUUUGCUGAUUGCCAAGGGGAUAAUGCAUUGGGUAUAAGAAGAAGGAAAGUAGAGGAACCAAUUAAGAAAUAUUUACUACAAUUAAGAAGAGAUGAUAAUAACUUCGACCAAGGUGGAGGCUAUGAAGAUGGAGCAAUGCGAAUACAUGGAGACAUGUUUUUGAUGUAGACUCAGCAAGAAAUUCUAAUAUAUUAGAUUUUAUGUUUUGGGAGAAAAAGAGACAUCUCCAAGAUUAUGGCUUGAAUAGAUUGGGACUAAUAGUGAAACUUGAGAGUGAUCACAUAUGGAGAUGAAAGAUUGAAAGACCUCUCGCUGAACAUAAUAUAGAAGGUCUAAAAUACUCUCAAGUCCCCUCCAUCUCAAAAUGACAGCAGUAACAGUGAAAACUAAACAUAGCUGUACCAAGGGCCUGUGUAUCUUACUUCGCCCUCCUUGUGAGUUGCCACUUCCUGUUCAUCCUCCUAUCAACGUGAUAUAAACACCAAAAUAGACCAAAGUAAUUAUCUGGGGAAUGUCCAGAGGGUGUUUACCUUCAGAAAAUUAACAGCUUUGAGACUAAAUCGAUGACCCAGCAAGAAGGUUCUCAUCAGUGGCUGACCAGAUGCCAGAAACAUGCCAUUGGAGUGCCCAGCCUUCAGAACAAUUUUGUCUUCUACCUGAGGAAGAGAGUGAGACAGAGUAACAUAUACAUAGAACAACAAGGAUGGUCGUGUGAAAGAAAAAUCAAAGGAACAGUGUAAUAGAAAGACAGUCGAGCUGGCACUCCAACUGCUGGAGCUGCUCCUGUCUAUCCUGUCAAUACCCAGCUGUGUUAUGCCUUCUCACUCCAUCAAAACAUAAAAUAAAUAAAAGAAAAACGUAUGUGCUUGUAAUGAACAGACUCUAAAAGGGCCUUCAAUUAUACUCACCUUUUUGUAUUCAUAUUCUUGUGUAUUCCCCUUCCUUUGAGCAUGAGUGGGACCUGUAACUUGCUUCCAACCAGUGGGACAUGGCAAAAGUAAUGAGAUGUCACUUAUACAGUUACAUUAUAUAAGAAAUAGUAACUGUCUUGCAAAGAGAUUCCCUCCCUUGCUGGCUUGGCUAAAGCAGGUGACAAUGUUGAGGAGUUCCGCAUGGCAAGAAACUGAGAGUAGCCUCCAGGUAGUAGGCAGAAAGAAAGUGAGGCCCUCAAUCUAACAGCCUUUCAGGAAUUAAAUUCUGCCAACAACCACAUGAACUUAGAAAUAAAUCUUUCCCCGUUCAGACCUUCAGAUGAGAACUCAGCC
rnacentral:lncRNA from 10 species